GAAGAAGAAGAAGAAGAAUAACAACAACAACAGUAUUAGUAAUAAUUCCUUUUCUGGAACAGUGGAUUUCAAACGAUAUAACGUUAUAAAAAAUUAUAACGAAAUAUUGGAUUGAAAACCCGUUUUGGAUAAGAAAGAUCGAAGGUUGCCUGUUAUAGGAGAAUCCUGAACACCCCCAACGCGACUGAAGAUGGACUAACCAAUUACAAUAAAUAAGAUCUGAGUAAACUGAGCAAAAGUGUAAUGGGGUCGUGCACUAGUUCUAAUACAGUGUCAGAAAAUUUAAACAAAAACAAGUGAAAAUGUUCCCUGAAUCUUUUUCGGACGAGUCGGGUUGGUGCAAUAAAUUUAAAGCAAGAUUUCAGGUAAGAGAAAAUCCAUUACCGGUUUUCAAACGGAAAAGUAGUGUACAGUUUGUAACAAGUCAAUAAGGAAUUUGAAAGACUAUAAAAAUAGAAGUGAUGGAAAAGAUCGAUUACUCAGACUGGGCUAAUCCAACGGUGUAUGUAAAAAAGAAGGACGACAAAAUUCGGGUAUGUGCAGAUUUCUCGAUGGGACUAAACGACUGUAUAACUACCCAUGAUCUUGCCCAAUGGAGAUCUUCUCGAAACUAAGUGGUGGCAAGUUGUUCGUGAAAUUAGAUCUUUCUGAUGCUUACUUACAAAAACAAGCGGAAUACGAAUGCACCAAUAAGAAUAUUAAAUGAAUUUCAUAUAGUUCACCCGGGCAUUUCAAGAAUGAAGUCAUUGAUGAAAAGCCUUUUGUAUUGGCCAAGAAUGGACCGAGCGAUUGAAGAAUGUAUGAGGACAUGCAGAGGCUGUGCUUUCAGCAAAGCCGCCUACAUCCUAAUGGCAACAGUGACCAGAAACAGAUAUCCCUUGACCCAGACUGCAUGUGAAUUUCGCAAAUCUAUUUAACGGUUCAAGUUACCUUGUUGUGGUAUACGGUUUUGCUAAGUGGCCAGAAGUAUGUAAGUGUUAAACAUCGGCACUUUGGUUGCAGUUAGUUUUUACACGAAUUGUUCGCCAGGUAUGUUACACCUGAUACCCUUGUGUCUGACAAUGGAACUCAGUUUACUGCAGAAGAGUGCAACAACUCUGUAAAAUGUCCUCCAUCUAACAUGCCACCGCCAUAUCAUCCUGGGUCAAAUAUAUUGUCGAUACAUUUAAGAAGGCUUUAAAGAAAGCGAACAACGAAGUAAUAGAGGACCUUGCAGUUCAACAGUUUUUGAGGGUGUAACAAGUGACACCGAAUCCCAAUACACCCUGCGGAAUUAAUAUUCGCUAGGAAGAUUAGAUCAGUGUUUCAUACAUUGUUGCCGAGUAAAAAGAGAAAAUAUCGGACAAGUAUUCGUUUAUUCUUUUAUAUAUUUCAGCGCCUUGAAGUUGCGGCCAUGCUGGGGUACCAUCAGUUUUUUUUUUAAACAGCGCAGGAGCGUCUAUGGUCGCACAGAUUUAAAACACCUACAUAGAUAUAUGCUAAAACGAAGUAACCACAUAACUAAGCUCCAAACGUCUUGCAAAUUGUUCACAAAGAUAUAUAAAAACGGUAAAGGAAUGUGAGAGGACGGAGUGAUUGCUAAACAGAUUGGGAAAGUGUUAUUUUUGGUAAAAGGUCAUAACUACAUAUAUAAGAGACAUAUAAAUCAACUAGAAUCUUAAGGUUUACUGAGGAAACGGUCACAAGAAACGAAUUUCCGGUGGAAGUCAUUUUUUAUACAUUUAAUGUACCAACGCUUAAACAAAUCGUGCAAACAACACGUUGAAGCAUGAGAAAAAGAAAACUAUCAGAAGUACUUGUAAGUGACUUUAAACACAAAAUAUACUUAGCCCCGGGCGAAGUUGAAUUCUGAAAAAGGGCAGAUGUUAUGUGAGAAUCCUGAAUACUCCUAUGUGACUAACCGAUUGCAAUAAAUCACUCAGCGAACAGUCAGCCGGUAGUUGAUGAUGUUACUCCGACCUUAUUCGUUACCGAGUUAGUUCGAUGUGUGUCCGUUUAACCAGUGAAUGCUGAGUAUCGUGCCUAUGUUCGAGUACUACGCAUUGCCUUCUGUGUUGAGAUAUAUUUCUGCGAUAGUUUAUUUUUACAUAACCACAACCAACUAUUUAUUUGUCAAAUACCACUUCACACCAGACCUGCAUACCCACGUCAUAACAUUGUCCAUAGAACAUUUUGUAUCCAACAGAGUAUUUCCAACCCAAUAUUUAUAUGCUACGAGGACCACUAUUCCAAAACAGAAUGUUUUCACAUUCGAAAGUUUAUGAAUUUUUAUGACGACCUCAUUCACAUGUAACGGUAUAUUUUUUUUGUUUAUCAAUUUCAUUUAUUUUUCUUUCAAAUUCUUCCAUCAGAUAUAUAACAACUCAAAUUCAGACCCACAAGUAAAUGAUAAGGUAGACUUCAUUUCAUUACCACGGAAUUUGUUAAAACAUCUGAAAACCGAAGAUCAGUCUGCUGUUUCAAGGAUUUCGUUUUUCGCCAUGCAGGAAGAUAAGCUGUAUAGGGUAAAAAAAUCCUCCAGUACCAAAGCAAAUACUAAAAUUAACAGUAAUAUUAUUGCUGCAAAUAUUCCUAACAUUAAAAUAACCAACCUCGAUGAACCAGUUAAUAUAUCAUUCAAUUUAAUAAAUCCGAAUACCACCAACCCACAGUGUGUUUAUUGGGAUGAAUCUCCUGGACAGAAUCCCCAUUGGUCAACAAAAGGCUGUAGUGUAUCUAAGUAUGUACCUGGAGAGAAAGCACUUUGUUCCUGUAACCAUCUUACAAGUUUUGCCCUAUUAAUGAAAUCUAAGGAAAUUACUGGCAUCAAAGGUUUUAGUAAACUUGUGCGUUUCUUUGGCUAUCGCUAAUUUGAUCUUUCUUGUGGGGAUGCAGCCAUAUGCCUCAGAAAUAUCAGCUGCUUGUAAGGCAGUGGCUGCUCUAUUACACUACUUCCUUCUGACAUCUCUCAUGUGGAUGGCUGUUAUUGUAUUUAAAACAUAUCAGUCACAUUUUAUCUUGAAGAGUUCAAUUUUGGCCUGGGGUCUUCCAGCUGUCGUUGUCAUAAUUACUCUGGCAAUUAACUACACAAACAAUUACAUCAGAAUUGAACGUGCACAAGUGUAAGUAUUUGUAUGCUUUUUUUACCGAAUUUUCUCUGCUCUCCACAACUAAUAUUUUG